AGUGAACGCUGGCGGUAGGCCUAACACAUGCCAGUCGAACGGCAGCACAGUAAGAGCUUGCCCUUACGGGUGGCGAGUGGCGGACGGGUGAGGAAUACAUCGGAAUCUACUUUUUCGUGGGGGAUAACGUAGGGAAACUUACGCUAAUACCGCAUACGACCUACGGGUAAAGGCAGGGGAUCUUCGGACCUUGCGCGAUUGAAUGAGCCGAUGUCGGAUUAGCUAGUUGGCGGGGUAAAGGCCCACCAAGGCGACGAUCCGUAGCUGGUCUGAGAGGAUGAUCAGCCACACUGGAACUGAGACACGGUCCAGACUCCUACGGGAGGCAGCAGUGGGGAAUAUUGGACAAUGGGCGCAAGCCUGAUCCAGCCAUACCGCGUGGGUGAAGAAGGCCUUCGGGUUGUAAAGCCCUUUUGUUGGGAAAGAAAAGCAGCAGGUUAAUACCCCGCUGUUCUGACGGUACCCAAAGAAUAAGCACCGGCUAACUUCGUG
rnacentral:rRNA from 1 species